UACGUAGGUUGCAAGCGUUAUCCGGAAUUAUUGGGCGUAAAGCGUGCGCAGGCUGAUCGUUAAGUUGGAUGUUAAAUCCCUGAGCUCAACUCAGGUUUGGUGUCCAAAACUGGCAAUCUAGAGAGAGGCAGAGGUAAGUGGAAUUCUGUAUGUAGGGGUAAUAUCCGUAGAUAUACAGAGGAACACCAAAAGCGAAGGCAGCUUACUGGGCCUUUUCUGACGCUCAUGCACGAAAGCGUGGGGAGCAAACGGG
rnacentral:rRNA from 1 species